rnacentral:rRNA from 1 species
GAUGAACGCUAGCGGCAGGCCUAAUACAUGCAAGUCGAACGGGAUCCAGAUCAAAGCUUGCUUUGGUUUGGUGAGAGUGGCGCACGGGUGCGUAACGCGUGAGCAACCUACCCUUGUCAGGGGGAUAGCCCGGCGAAAGUCGGAUUAAUACCGCAUGACAUCAUUGAGAGGCAUCUUUCGAUGAUCAAAGAUUUAUCGGACAAGGAUGGGCUCGCGUGACAUUAGCUAGUUGGUAAGGUAACGGCUUACCAAGGCUACGAUGUCUAGGGGCUCUGAGAGGAGAAUCCCCCACACUGGUACUGAGACACGGACCAGAAUCCUACGGGAGGCAGCAGUAAGGAAUAUUGAUCAAUGGACGGAAGUCUGAACCAGCCAUGCCGCGUGCAGGAAGUCGGACCUAUGGGUUGUAAACUGCUUUUAUACGGGAACAAACGUCGGUACGUGUACCGGUCUGAGUGUACCGUAAGAAUAAGGAUCGGCUAACUCCGUG